UACGUAGGGUGCAAGCGUUGUCCGGAAUUAUUGGGCGUAAAGAGCUUGUAGGCGGUUUGUCGCGUCUGCUGUGAAAUUUCGGGGCUCAACCCCGAACUUGCAGUGGGUACGGGCAGACUAGAGUGUGGUAGGGGAGACUGGAAUUCCUGGUGUAGCGGUGAAAUGCGCAGAUAUCGGGAGGAACACCAAUGGCGAAGGCAGCUCGCUGGGACGGCACUGACGCUGAGACGCGAAAGCGUGGGAGCAACAGG
rnacentral:rRNA from 1 species